UACGUAGGGGGCGAGCGUUGUCCGGAGUUACUGGGCGUAAAGCGCACGCAGGCGGUCUGCUAAGUUUGGAGUGACAGUUGGUGGUUUAACUGCCAAAGUGCUUCGAAAACUGACAGACUUGAGGGCUUCAGAGGGACACGGAAUUCCGGGUGGAGUGGUGAAAUGCGUAGAGAUCCGGAGGAACACCAAAGGCGAAGGCAGUGUCCUGGGGAGUACCUGACGCUCAGGUGCGAAAGCCAGGGGAGCGAACGGG
rnacentral:rRNA from 1 species